UACGUAGGGGGCUAGCGUUGUCCGGAAUCAUUGGGCGUAAAGCGCGCGUAGGCGGCCCGGUAAGUCCGCUGUAAAAGUCAAAGGCUCAACCUUUGAAUGUCAGUGGAUACUGCCGGGCUAGAGUCCGGAAGAGGCGAGUGGAACUCCUGGUGUAGCGGUGGAAUGCGCAGAUAUCAGGAGGAACACCGGUGGCGAAGGCGGGUCUCUGGACAGUUCCUGACGCUGAGGCACGAAGGUCAGGGGAGCAAACGGG
rnacentral:rRNA from 1 species